CCUACGGGAGGCAGCAGUGGGGAAUAUUGGACAAUGGGCGCAAGCCUGAUCCAGCCAUACCGCGUGGGUGAAGAAGGCCUUCGGGUUGUAAAGCCCUUUUGUUGGGAAAGAAAUCCAGCUGGCUAAUACCCGGUUGGGAUGACGGUACCCAAAGAAUAAGCACCGGCUAACUUCGUGCCAGCAGCCGCGGUAAUACGAAGGGUGCAAGCGUUACUCGGAAUUACUGGGCGUAAAGCGUGCGUAGGUGGUCGUUUAAGUCCGUUGUGAAAGCCCUGGGCUCAACCUGGGAACUGCAGUGGAUACUGGGCGACUAGAAUGUGGUAGAGGGUAGCGGAAUUCCUGGUGUAGCAGUGAAAUGCGUAGAGAUCAGGAGGAACAUCCAUGGCGAAGGCAGCUACCUGGACCAACAUUGACACUGAGGCACGAAAGCGUGGGGAGCAAACAGGAUUAGAUACCCUGGUAGUCCACGCCCUAAACGAUGCGAACUGGAUGUUGGGUGCAAUUUGGCACGCAGUAUCGAAGCUAACGCGUUAAGUUCGCCGCCUGGGGAGUACGGUCGCAAGACUGAAACUCAAAUGAAUUGACGGGG
rnacentral:rRNA from 1 species